AGUGAACGCUGGCGGUAGGCCUAACACAUGCAAGUCGAACGGCAGCACAGUAAGAGCUUGCUCUUACGGGUGGCGAGUGGCGGACGGGUGAGGAAUACAUCGGAAUCUACUUUUUCGUGGGGGAUAACGUAGGGAAACUUACGCUAAUACCGCAUACGACCUACGGGUGAAAGCAGGGGAUCUUCGGACCUUGCGCGAUUGAAUGAGCCGAUGUCGGAUUAGCUAGUUGGCGGGGUAAAGGCCCACCAAGGCGACGAUCCGUAGCUGGUCUGAGAGGAUGAUCAGCCACACUGGAACGGAGACACGGUCCAGACUCCUACGAGAGGCAGCAGUGUGGAAUAUUGGACAAUGGGCGCAAGUCUGAUCCAGCCAUACCGCGUGUGUGAAGAAGGCCUUCGGGCUGUAAAGCCCUUUUGUUGGGAAAGAAAAGCAGCAGGUUAAUACCCCGCUGUUCUGACGGUACCCAAAGGAUAAGCACCGGCUAACUUCGUG
rnacentral:rRNA from 1 species